CCCUUAGAUGUCCUGGGCCGCACGCGCGCUACACUGACAUGUUCAACAAGCCUCCUAGUUCGACAGGAUUUGGGAAAUCUUUUAACGCAUGUCGUGAUAGGGAUAGAUCAUUGCAAUUAUUGAUCUUGAACGAGGAAUUCCUAGUAAACGCGAGUCAUCAGCUCGCAUUGAUUACGUCCCUGCCCUUUGUACACACCGCCCGUCGCACCUACCGAUUGAAUGUUUCGGUGAAGAUUCCGGAUAGGACUUUUUUGAUUUAUUUCAAUUCUGUCUUAAAAGCUAUCUAAACCUCAACAUUUAGAGGAAGGUGAAGUCGUAACA
rnacentral:rRNA from 1 species